CCUUCCCCACUCCGAAGGCAUCGAUUCUCUGUAGCAAAGGUCGCCAGAUGCACGCCGAGCUCGUGAAGAAACAAGCUAGCAAACCCAACGAACGACGAUAAUUAACAGGAAGCUCGCCUGCCCGGGCUGGAUGCGUGUUGCAGCAGCAGAGGUCUUCUGUGUGGAACUGUACGUCUUCAUGCGGUUGAGCUGGUAGGGAUCGAUCGACAGGAACAAGUUCUUGACGACUACUUCCUUGGACCCCUGCGCGGCGGAGAGGACAAGCGGUGCGCUCCGGAGCUCGAAGUCGGACUCGUUGGGGAGGCCAUCGAUGGCGUGCUUGAUGAUGAUGUGCUUGUUCUCCACCUCCAUCCUCGCUGCGCUCUCUGUUCUUGCCAAUGGCGGCUAGUUAACGAUCCCUUGCUGCGUAACGAUAAACACGCCAAUCUGGCAGAUAGAAGAAAGAGUGUCCUCGUCCUUUUAUUAUUUUAAUAUUUUUGAUAUUAUAUCAUUAUAAUUUUAAAUUAUAAAAAUUAUGAUAACAUGAAGAUUCUAUCAAUAAUAAAAAUCAUAAUAUCAAUAUGAUUUUCUAAAUUAUAAAAUAAUUUAAUAAAUAUUUUAUAUUGAUUAUUAAUUAAAAAUAUAUAUAAUUAUCAUAUUUUGUAAUCUCUCUUUGUGUAUAUAAAUUCAUAGUCACUCUCAAUUAAAAAAUUAAUUAAUUAUUUUUUCUCAUGAUAUCAUAACCAUAAUUGCUCAAAAGAUUUUUUUAAUUUUAUUUUUACUAUUAUUUCUUUAUACCUUUUCCUUUAUCAUAGUUAAAGGUAAUGCUUUGCUGUACCUAUUCUUUCAACUGGUUGAAUAUAGCAUUACAAUUUCUAUUUAGUUUUAUACUUUAAUAAACUUUUCUUUUUUAUAAGUGCCUUUGCAUUUUUUUUUUCUUGACUUUUUGGCAUGAUCGGUAAUAACUCUUCGUAUCACCCCCAAUUAUUUUACUAUUGAAAAUACUAUUGACUCCAUUAACAUUGCAAUCCAAGCUCCUCUCAAACUCAUAUUCACAAACUAUAUCUCUUAUUAUACUUGAUUAUUUAAUCGAUUAUGAUAUUAUGGGUUAAGUAAAUAAUAUCAUCACUUUUCCUCUACAAAUGAUUAGAGAGAAUAAUCUUAAGAUUAUUAAUCCUAAAUAUAUUUUUUUAAUAGGUCAAUAUCAUUUUUUUAGAAGUGUUAUCAUUACCUUUCUCUCUCAUCAAAUUAUUCCUUAGUCUCUACAAAUUUUUUCUUACGAAGUAUAGUCCAAAUUUACAAUAAUAUACAUCAACCAAUCUCGUAGUCACCUAAUGCAACUUCUAGAAAUUCUUUAAAACUCUAAUGAUAAAGAGAUCAUUUUUUUCAUGUAUUAAAUAUUCUUGGUCCAAAUUAUAAGGAGAUCUCGUGAUAAACUUAUAAGUUUUGAAGAAUUAUGAGACAAGUCAAUCGAUCAUCUCGGGAUAACACAGUGAAACUCACUCUCUCUAAUACCCCUUUCAUCGUCGUCCGAUAAUGCAGGUACCAUGGGACCCACCAUUGUCUCCUAUCACAAUGUAAACAAUUCAUUCUCCUACUGUACAUUAUUGACGAUAAAAAGAUUCGAGUGAAUUUUUAGAAAAAAUAUUUAUUUUUUUGAAAUUCUUCACAUAACAUUCAUAUUUUAAAAUAAUUAAAUAUUUUUUAAUAAUCAUUUUAUCCUUACUUUAGUUAAACCCUUUACCCAGCCCAGCCCAUUAGCCAUCGCCUGCAUUGUCACCUUCGUCGGAACUCAAUAAUCAAUGAUGAUGGCGCUCGUUCGAUGCCAGUGGAGUGUGAACUUAUGCGUGAUGAAAGGAGACGAUCAACUCUAGCACAAGAGCUAUAGUGGAGGGAGCGAUCCGCAUGAAGAAAGGGACUUGCAAGCUUCGACGAGGAUUACGAGCAAUGAUUGGGAUGACAGAGGUAAUGAUGGGUCCCGUAGAAAAACAAAAGGUAAAAUAAAAUUUUCAUAAAAUUAGUAAGAACAUGUAAAUUUUUGAAAAAUAAACGUUUUUUCGAAAAUUCGCCAAAAGCUUUCCGCUCUUAUUCAUCACAAGCAAUUCAGUCUAUCACAAACUUGUCAAAUGCACGAGCUUUUUGCCGACAUUAUCACCUCGAAACAGCCCAGCAAAAGCAGAUGGCACGCUUUCGAGGCCAGUGGAUAUGUCUUCGACUGCUCGCAUUCUGCCAUGGCGAAGAUGGUCGGAUGUGGACGAUAUGAAUCCAGCGUACACGUGAAGGUGAUCGAAGGCGAGGAACCCGCGGAGUGUGAUCCGUUUAUAGAUCACAUCGACCGUAUCAAGCGCCAGUCGCUUGCCAGCGUCCGCGUAUUCGGAGAUUGCUCCGCAUACUGCAACUCUACCAAAAAGGUUCAUGUUGGCGACUGCAGCCUCUAACAUCGCAGAACCAACGUUGUCGAAGUAUAUGUCGAUUCCUUCCGGGAAGUACCUAUUCAUAAAAGUAAUCAGGAAGUAUGAACUGCUGCUUGCAAAGAUCGAUACAAGAUGGGAUCUGUCUUACCUUCUAAGAGCAGACUUUAGAUCAGGUUCUUCUUUGUAGUUAAACGCGUCAUCAAAUCCAAGCUUCUCUUUUAGAAGAUCCACCUUCGUCUUGCUUCCGGCGCAUCCCACGACGUAGCAGCCAGAGAGCUUGGCGUAUUGGCCGACCAAACUCCCCACCGAACCGGAUGCUGCGGAGACGAAGACCUUCUCCCCCUUCUUCGGCUUGCAGAUGUCGUAGAAGCCAGCGUAAGCUGUCAAUCCACUCGUCCCUGCGGCAAACAGCAGUGCGUUAUGAUCAGAGUGUCUCGUGGCCUUCUCCGUCUGUCAAUCUUGUGGAUCCAUUUCCUGCGUCUCUCUGAUAAUUACCUAAGAUGCUCGCAUGGUAUGACAGGGGGAACUCAUGCGGGUCAACCUUGGUCAACGUGGUUCCCGGCCGGACGACCGUGUAUUCCUCCCAGGCCAGAAGUCCGACCACCACAUCGUCUCUUUCGAACUCCUCGUUCCCUGAGACCACGACCUUCCCCACUCCGAAGGCAUCGAUUCUCUGUAGCAAAGGUCGCCAGAUGCACGCCGAGCUCGUGAAGAAACAAGCUAGCAAACCCAACGAACGACGAUAAUUAACAGGAAGCUCGCCUGCCAGGGCUGGAUGCGUGUUGCAGCAGCAGAGGUCUUCUGUGUGGAACUGUACGUCUUCAUGCGGUUGAGCUGGUAGGGAUCGAUCGACAGGAACAAGUUCUUGACGACUACUUCCUUGGACCCCUGCGCGACGGAGAGGACAAGCGGCGCGCUCCGGAGCUCGAAGUCGGACUCGGUGG
rnacentral:lncRNA from 1 species